AAUUUCGAAAUUUUAGGGAAUUGAUUCGUUUUCCUGUUGCAUGUUUAACAUUCAUCUGGGUGAUGGUGGUUUGAGGGUGUACGAACUGGAAUUGCUGAUGGUAGGCUUGAAUUUGGCCAAAUUUGGCUAUUCAUACUCUGAUCACAAUUGCUGAGAGUGUCAAGAGCAAUGGAGUUGCCGUUGAAAAGAGCAUAAGCACCUCUAUUUUUGUCUCGAAGCUGGAUGGCGAAGAUGGACGGAUUGUGCUGAAGGCUCAGUUGGUGAUUUUGCUGGGAAAGGCUGAAGAAGUCGAGGAGACUGCAGUUCCUGUGGUUGCAGCGUGAAGGCAUAUAUGAUUCAGCAGAGUUUGAGUUGAAACUUGGAUGAUGAGUUAUAGCUGGGUAAUUCAUUAGAAUAAUAAGGAUGUGUCUAUGAGAGACAGGUUUAGCACUUUGCUUCCUAAUGCAUGUUUUCUACAUGUCCUUUGAUAUAAAUAAUGAGGUUUUUUGCAGCUCACAGCUCUCUCUCUCUCUCUCUCUGCUCACACACGCACACAGAAACAACCACAUUGUUAGAAAGUAGAAGAAACACUGGAAUUUAGUGAGUCUGAAACGUUAAGGUUGACAUUUAGGGUUCUCUUUCUUUCAGAGGCUAGAAGAUAUCUGGAUCUGCUUCAAAUUUCAAUUUUUGUGCCCAGAUUUGAGUGCCCUGUACGGUUUGUGUUGUGCUAAAAGCAUGAUUGUUUAUGUUGGAGUGGUUUAAGGGAAUGUCCAACUGAGUUGGGCAGUUUUUGUUCAUUUUGUUCAGUUAAGGUAAUUUACGCAUCUAAAAAUGCUCGAGAGUUGAAUGUGACAAAGUAAGCAGAUCAGCAUGUAAACCUGAAACCAAGAAGCUCAAACCCUGAGAAUUUGAUGUAAUAACCUUAGUUAUGCGACUCAAAAUCUGAGGCAGCUUCUGGAUACUCAGGAAGGGAACAAAUAAAAUUAAAGGCAUCAAGUUACAGAUCCCUGAAGGCUCCGAACCAGUUCAGAUAUGUCUGAAUGCUAAAAGCUUCUCAAAGAUGAAAAAUCUUCAAGUACUUUUUGUAAAUAGUAAUGUGCGCCUAUCUGGAGAAAUUGAUUAUCUCCCUAACGAGUUGAGACUCCUUCAUUGGCAUGAAUAUCCAUCACAAGUUUUGCCCAAAUGGAAGUUGCAGCCGCGUCACAGCCUUCGAAAUAUACAUGUAUAGGUUAUAAGUAAUUAGGAGAACUAUAUACAAUUGUUAAGGUAAAGGCGGAUCCCUAGUGUUUUCUUAACUUGAUUUCUACAAAACUAUUCCAUUUUU
rnacentral:sRNA from 1 species